rnacentral:rRNA from 1 species
UAGCGUAUAUUUAAGUUGUUGCAGUUAAAAAGCUCGUAGUUGGAUUUCGGUUGAGAGCGGCCGGUCCGCCGUUUGGUGUGCACUGGCUGGUUUCAGCUUCCUGCAGAGGACGCGCUCUGGGCUUAAUCGUCUGGACGUGGAGUCUGCGUGGUUACUUUGAAAAAAUUAGAGUGUUCAAAGCGGGCUUACGCUUGAAUAUUUCAGCAUGGAAUAACACUAUAGGACUCCUGUCCUAUUUCGUUGGUCUCGGGACGGGAGUAAUGAUUAAGAGGAACAGUUGGGGGCAUUCGUAUUUCAAUGUCAGAGGUGAAAUUCUUGGAUUUUUGAAAGACGAACUUCUGCGAAAGCAUUUGCCAAGGAUGUUUUCAUUAAUCAAGAACGAAAGUUGGGGGCUCGAAGAUGAUUAGAUACCAUCCUAGUCUCAGCCAUAAACGAUGCCGACUAGGGAUUGGCGGAUGUUAAUUGAUGACUCCGCCAGCACCUUAUGAGAAAUCAAAGUUUUUGGGUUCCGGGGGGAGUAUGGUCGCAAGGCUGAAACUUAAAGGAAUUGACGGAAGGGCACCACCAGGCGUGGAGCCUGCGGCUUAAUUUGACUCAACA